rnacentral:rRNA from 1 species
AUUGAACGCUGGCGGCAUGCCUUACACAUGCAAGUCGAACGGUAACGCGGGGCAACCUGCCGACGAGUGGCGAACGGGUGAGUAAUGCAUCGGAACGUGCCUGGUAGUGGGGGAUAACUGCUCGAAAGAGCAGCUAAUACCGCAUACGACCUGAGGGUGAAAGGGGGGGAUCGCAAUACCUCUCGCUAUCAGAGCGGCCGAUGUCGGAUUAGCUAGUUGGUGGGGUAAAGGCCCACCAAGGCGACGAUCCGUAGCUGGUCUGAGAGGACGACCAGCCACACUGGGACUGAGACACGGCCCAGACUCCUACGGGAGGCAGCAGUGGGGAAUUUUGGACAAUGGACGCAAGUCUGAUCCAGCCAUGCCGCGUGCGGGAAGAAGGCCUUCGGGUUGUAAACCGCUUUUGUCAGGGAAGAAAUCUUCUGGGUUAAUACCUCGGGAGGAUGACGGUACCUGAAGAAUAAGCACCGGCUAACUACGUGCCAGCAGCCGCCGCAG